UAGGGAAUCUUCCGCAAUGGGCGAAAGCCUGACGGAGCAACGCCGCGUGAGUGAUGAAGGUCUUCGGAUCGUAAAACUCUGUUAUUAGGGAAGAACAAAUGUGUAAGUAACUAUGCACGUCUUGACGGUACCUAAUCAGAAAGCCACGGCUAACUACGUGCCAGCAGCCGCGGUAAUACGUAGGUGGCAAGCGUUAUCCGGAAUUAUUGGGCGUAAAACGCGCGUAGGCGGUUUUUUAAGUCUGAUGUGAAAGCCCACGGCUCAACCGUGGAGGGUCAUUGGAAACUGGAAAACUUGAGUGCAGAAGAGGAAAGUGGAAUUCCAUGUGUAGCGGUGAAAUGCGCAGAGAUAUGGAGGAACACCAGUGGCGAAGGCGACUUUCUGGUCUGUAACUGACGCUGAUGUGCGAAAGCGUGGGGAUCAAACAGG
rnacentral:rRNA from 1 species